UAGUUUAGUGGAGGACUUGUGUUAGGUCAGAGGUUGGACUAGGUGAUCUUGGAGGUCUCUUCCAACCUGGAUGAUUCUGUGAUUCUGUAAUACCAGUUUCUUAUACCCUACAUGAGGCAGAUUCGAGCAUGAGAAGAAAUCAGUGAGGAAGGCUGCAAUGAUGGAAAUUUUGGGCUUAAGGUAAAGGGUUAAGGAUUAAAACAGAUUGAGGGGUAGUUAAAUUUAGGAAAAGGGUUAGGAUUUGGAGUUGGAAUAGGGGUCAAGUUAGGCUUUAAAUUGGCAGUUGGGGUUAAUAAAGAAUUCAGAUUACAGAUAAGGGGCACGAUUAAUUUAGGAUUUGAAGUGAGAAGGCAAGGUAUAGGAUUUUGGAAGCCUGAGAAGCCAACAAAGCUGCAUAGCUGUGGAGGCACUGCACUGAUGCUGUCUGCCAUCCCUGUGACACACCAAGAGGCAGCUGAUGCUGGAGCAGUUCUUGAGCAUCCUGUCCCUGGAGAUGCAGUACUGUGUAUGGGAGUGCAGCCUUAAGACCUGUGCUGAAGCAGUGGCCCUGGCCAAAAUUUUCAUUGCAGGAUGUCCAAUGUUGGCACACAGAUAAUGAUGGAUGGUUGUGAGGGAGUAGGCUUCUCAUCCUUUUAGGUCAGGGCUGUGCAUUAUUACACAGUCCUUACCCUCCCCCAUAGAAUUACAACCAGGUGUAGUAAAGGGUGGCCUAAGAGCUUUUGUGAUUUAAUCUCUCCUCAGACAUCCUUCUAUCCAUGUCCUUCUACCAAGGUUCACCGUAAAAUUGAAAGUGGAAGAACCCAGUGGUUUCCUGGAGAACCACUGGAAAAAUCCCGCUUCCUGUCCAGCCCUCAAAUGAUGGGAUACUGUCCAAGGCAUACACUGGCCUAGGACAACAUGCAUUGUCAAAGAAUAGCCCCAGAGACCCCUAGAGAUGGGUAGCGUGGGCUGCCAAGGGGAAGGACAAGGGCUUGCCCUCAGUGGACUGUGGGGAGAGGGCACAAGAUGGCCAAUAGGAAUGGCUGAUGUUCCAUCACUGCCCAGGAGAGAGACAGGUCUGACCCUGAAACCCUGUCUUUCUCUUCUCCACUCUUUCUUCCUCAGUAUUUUUUUUUACUUCCUCCGUCUCACAUCACCUUCUCUGUUCUGCAGCCUAUGGCAACAUCCCCAUGGGAUGUUUGAAUGAACACCACUCCAGGCCCAAGGUCUGCAGUGCCCCAGGUGAACGGGAAGCAUAUGGACACUGAGCCCUGACACUGUGUCACUCUGCACUGGGGAAGUGGCUGUCACCUGUAUCGGGUUUACCAAUUAAGAAUGAAAACACUUAUUUUUAUUUUUUAUUAUUGUUAUUUUUUUAAUUGGCAGUCAUUUAAAACAGGUGGAGGAAAGAGAGUGCUCUGGGUAACAGAAAUCCUGAGGAGGGGUGCUGACUGAGCAAGAAAGAGCCAAAGAGCUUUGUGUAGUGAGAAGCACUCUAGGAAACUAAGAGAGUUUCCAGGAGGCAUUGUGACAGAGAGGAAAGAAAGGAUGGGUGAGGCCAGAGAGUCAAAAGAAUGCUUGGGGGAACAGUGAGAGAGGGUCUGCAUGGUGUACAGAUUUUGUCAUGAGGUGUAUUUGGUUUAUGAGGCAAAGUUUAAGUAGUGGGGGCUUCAGGGAUAGCCUCUGUGGGAAGUUCAGAAACUGACCCACAUUAGAUAAGAGCCAGUUCCAGCUGGCUCCAAAAGCAACCUGUUGCUGGCAAAAGCUGAGCCAUGAAUGCUGCUGGUUGUGCUGCCACUGUGAAAACAUAGUUAAGGGGAAAAAAAAAAAAAAAAAAAAAAAAAC